GAUGAACGCUGGCGGCGUGCCUAACACAUGCAAGUCGAGCGAAUGAAGAUAGCUUGCUAUCGGAUUUAGCGGCGGACGGGUGAGUAACGCGUGGGUAACCUGCCAUAUACACACGGAUAACAUACCGAAAGGUAUGCUAAUACGAGAUACUCUCAUUUUAAGGCAUCUUGAAAUGAGGAAAGAUUUAUCGGUAUAUGAUGGACCCGCGUCCCAUUAGCUAGUUGGUAAGGUAAAAGCUUACCAAGGCGACGAUGGGUAGCCGACCUGAGAGGGUGAUCGGCCACACUGGAACUGAGACACGGUCCAGACUCCUACGGGAGGCAGCAGUGGGGAAUAUUGCACAAUGGGCGCAAGCCUGAUGCAGCAACGCCGCGUGAGCGAUGAAGGCCUUCGGGUCGUAAAGCUCUGUCCUAAGGGAAGAUAAUGACGGUACCUUAGGAGGAAGCCACGGCUAACUACGUGCCAGCCGCC
rnacentral:rRNA from 1 species